rnacentral:rRNA from 1 species
AAGUUUCAACCCGGAUCUCUUGGCUCUCGCAUCGAUGAAGAACGCAGCGAAAUGCGAUAAGUAAUGUGAAUUGCAGAAUUCAGUGAAUCAUCGAAUCUUUGAACGCACCUUGCGCUCCUUGGUAUUCCUUGGAGCAUGCCUGUUUGAGUAUCAU